UAGUGGCAACAACUUCAUCCUAUUCAUUUGCAUGCAGGCUGUUGCACCUAUAUACUCAACAGCUUCUCCACCCAUGAAAUUACCCAAUUGAUAUGAUAUUUCCUUAGACAAAAAUAAAAAGAUAUUUCCUUGAAAUGUGGGGGCAAGGCUGCAUGUUGUUCGACUGCGCACUACCUCAAAGAAAUUGAGGGGUGUUUGUUUGGCCUCACUAAGAGGGACUAGACUAGACUGGAUUAAGUAUUUAGUGUAGUCCCAUGUUUGGUAGGUAGAGGGACUGAGUUUAGUGGGAUAAACCCGGACUCGCUCAGACAUACUCCUUCGCUAAGAGUUCUUAGUGAGGACCCCCAAAUUUCACGGUACUGCUAAAGCCCAUCCAGCGAGAGAGAGAUUCGCGAUUGUCUGCGAGAGAAGACGUCCUACUCCUUCACCCUCGUCCUGCUCGCCCUCCUCUGCGUCCUGCUCGUCCUCCUCUGCUCCUCGUUAGAAUUCAGCAUAUUCAAAUCCUUGCAAUUGGACUGGAGUUCGUUGUUUUGAUUUCAAGUUCCCUAAGCAGCUGGAUCAAGAUAGUACUUAAUUGGCUAAUGGAGAUAAGGAGAACGAGAACCAUUAGCAAUCUGGACCAAUGAGAGGCGCAAUAUAUGAGUGUUAGUCUGUGAAAUAACUCGAAUUUCAAAUCAAUCACUUGAAAUGCUUAUGUUUUUUGGGAUUUCCAAUGUUCGGGACUUACGUUGAUAAGAAAUGCCCUUUCAUUGGAAAUGUUUCUAUAGGGGCCGCAUCUUGGCUGGCACUUGCCAUAGUGCUAAGA